rnacentral:lncRNA from 1 species
CUCCAUAGAUUAAUUUACAGAUGGUAUGGAAACACACUUGUUGAGAAAAAUUCCAUUUUUAGAUAUGCAAAUACCUUACCAUGCUUUGAAAACUAUUUUCUAUGCAGCCAAUAGAAUUUUCUAUGUGGUAAAUAUUAACCAAAAUUAAUGGUGCCUUUCAAUAUUAGUGGGAGAUCUUUUUUCUAGAACAUGUCUACUCUUUUUUUGUUGUUGCUGCUGCUUCUCACACUGAACUCUUGUUUUCUUAUAUUUUCUUACUAUAAUAAUAAAGGGUGGUAACGACUUAAAAAAAAAAAAAAAAACAGAGAAGUAUUACAGAAGUAAAGACCGCACUACCAUUCCCUGUCUCCUUUCUGACACUCUGCUGCUUACCUAUACUGGAGCAGGGGUAGUGCAUGGGGGACUGGGGGUGGAGCGAGGGGAGAGUGUUUAGCUGCUCAAGAAAGGAUGUUUAGCUGCUCAAGAAAGGAUGAGAGAAUUCCCCGACAAAAAAAUAAAAAAUUGUCAAUAGCUCUCCAAGAAGAUUCCAUCCCCUCUCCGGUAACCAGAGAAAGGCAAAAUUCUAACACAGGGAGAACAGGCUACUUGUGGCUUCUGGACUAUAAAGACCAAAAGAAAAAAGAAAAAGAGUGACAGGACCUGAUGGGGUAGGGUGAGGUGCUAGUGGGGGUAAAGGAGGGGGCUCUUGCUCUUGGUGGGAGUGGAAAUUGGGGCCCCAAGCUCACUGGCGAUGCAACCCUCACGUGACCAGGAGCUGACGUUAGCAAAGAUACUUAAAGCUCUGACCGCCGUCCUCCGUUCUCCUCUGGGUACCAACUCUGUUGCGCUGUGCACUGCCGUGCGUUUAACCCAGGCGCGGAGGAGGAGGAGAAAAUCCCCCCAGAUCCGGGCAGGUUUCUCUGCCUUUUGGGCCCUGCACAACUGUUAGCCUGGUGGAAAAGUGCAAAUUGCUCCUGCUCUCCCAGCAGAUUGGUCCUGCUUUGCUUGCAGCCUCAGCAGAAUUUUGAGCCUGAGCUGAAGCGCCUCACUUGGACGUGCACGCACCCCACUUGGGCACGUCUGGAUCAGA